GGGUCGUGGAAGCAAAA
rnacentral:siRNA from 1 species